rnacentral:misc_RNA from 1 species
UCAAACUUGGUCAUUUAGAGGAAGUAAAAGUCGUAACAAGGUCUCCGUUGGUGAACCAGCGGAGGGAUCAUUACCGAGUUUACAAACUCCCAAACCCCUGUGAACUUAUACCACAAACGUUGCUUCGGCGGGUUUUUCUUUUUCGCCCCGGACGCCGGACUCCCCGGCCCCGGAACCAGGCGCCCGCCGGAGGACCCAAACUCUUCUGUAUUUUGUACAAUGCAUGUCUGAGUGGAUUUAAUUAUCAAAAAAUGAAUCAAAACUUUCAACAACGGAUCUCUUGGUUCUGGCAUCGAUGAAGAACGCAGC